UACGUAGGGUCCGAGCGUUGUCCGGAAUCACUGGGCGUAAAGGGCGCGUAGGCGGCUUGGGAAGUCCGUGGUGAAAGCUCGAGGCUCAACUUCGAGUCGGCCAUGGAUACUCCUAAGCUCGAGUCGACUAGAGGCAGAUGGAAUUCCGGGUGUAGCGGUGGAAUGCGUAGAGAUCCGGAAGAACACCGGUGGCGAAGGCGGUCUGC
rnacentral:rRNA from 1 species